AAAAAUAAUUACAGUCUAAUUUUUACUAAUUGAUGUUAAAUGAGAAUUGAUUGGAUACAGAUAUAAAACCAUCAUUGCGCGACAAAAUUAGUAUUAACCAAUCAUUAACAGGAAGUAUAUUGAUACACGCCUGGCUAUACUGACAAGAUUAGCCAGGACCCAAGGCUAGGUGGAUACCAUAUUAAGAUCCAACUCAUAUGGCACUUGUAAAUAAAAUGUGUUAGUUAAAAUAUUUAUACACUAUAAAUUCAGAAAUGUUUGCAAGCAUUUAUCAUUGUGAUCCUUGUGAGACUAAUAAAUGCAAUUUCUAGAAAUGAAACAUUCAAAAAAUGCUAAAAAAGUUUUAAAUGCAAAUCUUUAUUUUUAGGAAACUUUCCUGUCAAUGCCUAUUGCAAUUUUAGCAAUAAUUAUAACUUCUCAAAUAUUUCUAAAUUUACAGUAUCGAGAUUUUGUAAACAAAGGUCGAUAAAUAUCAUAUCAGCUAAAUUUAUUCUAGAUUAUAACAAUAUACAUGAUAUACUGGCAGUGUUGUGUCAAAAUUUUUAUACCACUCGGUUAUUGUCAUGGUAAUGAAACAAAAGACUAGACAAUUGUUAUCUAGCAUUGCAUGCAGACCAAUAGCAAGUUCAGUUCAUCCCCUGAUUAUCCAGUCAAGGAUACUACAAACUAUGUUUAUUUAUUGGAUGAUGUAAGUUAUAUUUACUUUGCAGAAUUAAAUUUUUUAAGAUUUAAAUUUUUAUUUCAAGAUUUGAAUGAUCUCCCCUUAAUCUUCUCAGAAAUAUACUGAACACGGAUCAUAUGUUGAGUAGCUGUACAUGCUAUUCAAAUAGUACACUUUCAGGGUUGGUAAAUGAGCAGUAGUAAUUUGAAGAUCUAUAAGAAUUUCAUUGUCCAUAAAAUUAUACUUUACUGAAUUAGAAAGACGAUGGGUUAUUUUGAAAUAAGGAUUGCAAUACUGUUUAAACAUAAAUUUUCAUGGGGUUAAAAUUUCGUUGUUUUGUAUCCAAAAGUAAGUUUGUGGGGAUUAAUUUUUUGUGUUUUUAAGCUGAGGAAGAAUUGUGUAAAUGUCACUUUAUUAUUGAUAUCAAUGAUUGUGUAAUAAAUGUAUUAUUAGACACUGAUUGACUGGUCUUGAUCAUUAUUCAUUACUGUACAAACAAAAGAUUAGGCUUAUCAUCUGAAGGAAAGAAAACGUUUUAAUAUUGCUGUCUUAUCAAUUAACCUAUUCUUUUCAUUGUAUAAAUGAUGUCAAUAUGAUUUUGUCUGAUUAUUAAAUAAUGUGAAUUUUUACAUAUUUUGAAUUCAGAUUUGGUAAAUCUACAGUUAAAUUUUUGUUGGGGUUUUAAUUCUUAUCCACGAAAUAAACGACAUUAAAUCAUCAAUGAAAAUUUCUGCUUUUACAGUAUUUACAUUCAAUAGCAAUUCAGUGGAAACUUCUUUUCAAGUCGAUCAUUAAAAAUAUCAUUCAAUUUGGCACCAAUCUAAUCAAAUUUAACAUACAUAGAAAAAUAUGGCACCAAAUUAUCCUCCUUUAACAUAUACAAUGUAUAUAACAUUUACAAACUAUUAGUCAAUCUGAUCGAAACACAGAGCAUGUGUUCAUGCUUCACACCACAGCUUCUACGAGUCACAGCAAAGAUAGCUACAAGAUAACUAGAAGGUAAAAUAACAUUUGACAUUGAGAUAUGUCUUGCCCUUUUGUAAUUUAUAUUUUUUCAUAUCGGUUUAGAAUAAGCUUAUCUUAUUGGAUAAUAAGGGGCCACAUAAUAUUCUUUAUUCUUCAGUAAUAAGUUCCAUCGGUCAUUAACAGAACAAAAUGGACCGGAAAACAGGUUGUUAACAGACUUUUACAUGAUAAUGACCGGUGGGGCAUGGUUUGUCUGUUUGAG
rnacentral:lncRNA from 1 species